AUGCAAAAUGCUCUUGGAACGUCUAGGAAUGCAUAUCUAACCUUGCGGUGCGCGUAUGGGGAUUUGUGAGAAAACUGUUGUGCUUUAAACGAUAACGGACUGAAACCGUACGAAAUACUGACAACACCGACAAAUACGAAGUUUACACAUAUAAUUUAAAUUUAUGGAUUCCGUUAUACGAAAUUAUCACGCUUUCUAACGGCGCAAAACGCAAGCGAGAGCGGAAAACGCAGAAAUCAGAGCACACCGUCAAUCAAUAACGAAAUGGAAGCAUCGGACUCGAGUUACGUCGCAAUAUUAUCAUAUUAUGAUAUAUUUAACUUCGUUUUCAAAUUUUACUAUUCGUAAUUAGAAACGGAUCGAAAAACGAUCAAGAAACGACGAAUGAAACAAUUUUUUUUACGCAUUAUAACGUAACCGAUAAAUUAUGCGUCAUAUAUAUCGAUAACCGAUGCAAUUUUUAGUGUUUUGACACUAAAAUUUUAUUUACGACAACUUAUGAAGCUCGGGAACGAAAAUGGGCUCUAAAAAUGAAUCGGGUCGCACGAAACGGGCUUGUGGGCCUGGGGCCCAAGCCCACUUGAAAGACCUAGUAUAUAAGCACCUUUUCUCACUCUUGGUCAAUUGGAAACCCUAAAUAAGUCAGCGCACACCACAACUCUCACCUGAUCCCCUUUUCUUCAGCAUAUACUCUAAACAUCACCACAAACACCUUAUAUCCUCCAUUAUGUCAAAAUCCUAGCCAUAUCCCUUGCAUUUCCUCUGCAGAUUGUCAACCAAAUAAAUAAAAGAAAACAAACAAACAAACUCCAUACACUAAUAUCUCCACCCUCUCGGCUCUCUCUCUGACGACGAAGACAAAAGAGGCCGGCUGACCACCACCCUAGGUGGCGGUGCUCGGCGGCUGGGGCGGCAGACGAUAGUCAGCAACACAACCCCCCCCCCCACACACACACACACACUUGUUUACCUUCUCUAAUUGAAACGGUCGACCACCACCAUCGUCUGGUGGCGGUGUGGCGACGAGGUGAAAGGGAGAUGGAGAGAGAGACGAUGGGAUAAGAGAGAGCGAGGAGAGAGAGAAGGUGGAGGGUUGAUGACGGUGGCAGGAAGCCGGCGUCGAGUCGAUUUUCGAUGACCGGCAACGGUGGUUCUGUUGUCCGACGGGUUCCGUGACGAUGAUGAUUUAUUGAUGUUGAAGGUGUAAAGAUCUGCAGUUGAUAAUGAUGUUUUGAUCGGUCACAAGGCAGCGGGUUUCUUUUCUCAUAUUCAGCUUUGGAUUCGUGUUCCAGGUUCUGUGACGGUUCGAGUUUUGGUUCAGAUCUGGCUCAGAUUCGUGUUGGGUUCUUGGUUUGAGCAGGGUUAUAAUAUUCCAGAUCCAUGAUACGGCUCGGUUCAUACUGUCAGUUUGGUUUGGGUCUCAGUCUCGGUUCGGUCGACUCGGGUCAAACCGGGUCGACUCAGUCAACGCUGGUCAACAGAAGUCAACACAGUCAAAGCCAGUCAAGACGGAUAACAGCAACCUCGGUCCGAGUCAGCUCAGUUUGGUGCGGGUCAAUGUCGAAUGUAGUUCAGUCAACUUGGUCAGAUUAGGGAGCGGUUCGGUUGACUCGGUCAAACCGAGUCAACUCGGUCAAACUCCGGUCAAAUGAGUCGCCACGAGGCUCGGAAUGCUUUAGUUGCACGCUAGCGAGUUCACAUUCGUGGGAUGACACUACGGAAUCACGUUAAGCUAGCUUUGCACAGGAUUGUCAAGGUUGAAUUUUCAAAGCUAUGGAACGGUUGGAAUAG
rnacentral:lncRNA from 1 species